rnacentral:rRNA from 1 species
GUUAAGCGACUAAGCGUACACGGUGGAUGCCCUGGCAGUCAGAGGCGAUGAAGGGCGUGCUAAUCUGCGAUAAGCGCCGGUAAGGUGAUAUGAACCGUUAUAACCGGCGAUACCCGAAUGGGGAAACCCAGUGUGACUCGUCACACUAUCAUUAACUGAAUCCAUAGGUUAAUGAGGCGAACCGGGGGAACUGAAACAUCUAAGUACCCCGAGGAAAAGAAAUCAACCGAGAUUCCCCCAGUAGCGGCGAGCGAACGGGGAGGAGCCCAGAGCCUGAAUCAGCAUGUGUGUUAGUGGAAGCGUCUGGAAAGGCGCGCGAUACAGGGUGACAGCCCCGUACACAAAAGCGCAUGUGCUGUGAGCUCGAUGAGUAGGGCGGGACACGUGGUAUCCUGUCUGAAUAUGGGGGGACCAUCCUCCAAGGCUAAAUACUCCUGACUGACCGAUAGUGAACCAGUACCGUGAGGGAAAGGCGAAAAGAACCCCGGCGAGGGGAGUGAAAAAGAACCUGAAACCGUGUACGUACAA